AACGAACGCUGGCGGCAGGCUUAACACAUGCAAGCCGAACGCCCCGCAAGGGGAGUGGCAGACGGGUGAGUAACGCGUGGGAACAUACCCUUUCCUGCGGAAUAGCACUGGGAUACUGGAAUUAAUACCGCAUACGCCCUACGGGGGAAAGAUUUAUCGGGGAAGGAUUGGCCCGCGUUGGAUUAGCUAGUUGGUGGGGUAAAGGCCUACCAAGGCGACGACCCAUAGCUGGUCUGAGAGGAUGAUCAGCCACAUUGGGACUGAGACACGGCCCAAACUCCUACGGGAGGCAGCAGUGGGGAAUAUUGGACAAUGGGCGCAAGCCUGAUCCAGCCAUGCCGCGUGAGUGAUGAAGGUCUUAGGGUUGUAAAGCUCUUUCACCGAUGAAGAUAAUGACGGUAGUCGGAGAAUAAGCACCGGCUAACUCCGUGCCAGCAGCCGCGGUAACAC
rnacentral:rRNA from 1 species